rnacentral:ncRNA from 16 species
UAGUAUCUUCAGGGCAGGGUGUAAUUCCCGACCGGCGGUUAAAGUCCGCGAGCUAUACUUGGUAUGGCUGAUUUGGUGAGAUUCCAAAACCGACAGUAAAGUCUGGAUGAGAGAAGGUAUAG